GGGUUGUGAGGUUAAGCGACUAAGCGUACACGGUGGAUGCCCUGGCAGUCAGAGGCGAUGAAGGACGUGCUAAUCUGCGAUAAGCGUCGGUAAGGUGAUAUGAACCGUUAUAACCGGCGAUUUCCGAAUGGGGAAACCCAGUGUGAUUCGUCACACUAUCAUUAACUGAAUCCAUAGGUUAAUGAGGCGAACCGGGGGAACUGAAACAUCUAAGUACCCCGAGGAAAAGAAAUCAACCGAGAUUCCCCCAGUAGCGGCGAGCGAACGGGGAGGAGCCCAGAGCCUGAAUCAGUGUGUGUGUUAGUGGAAGCGUCUGGAAAGGCGCGCGAUACAGGGUGACAGCCCCGUACACAAAAAUGCACAUGCUGUGAGCUCGAUGAGUAGGGCGGGACACGUGGUAUCCUGUCUGAAUAUGGGGGGACCAUCCUCCAAGGCUAAAUACUCCUGACUGACCGAUAGUGAACCAGUACCGUGAGGGAAAGGCGAAAAGAACCCCGGCGAGGGGAGUGAAAAAGAACCUGAAACCGUGUACGUACAAGCAGUGGGAGCACGCUUAGGCGUGUGACUGCGUACCUUUUGUAUAAUGGGUCAGCGACUUAUAUUCUGUAGCAAGGUUAACCGAAUAGGGGAGCCGAAGGGAAACCGAGUCUUAACUGGGCGUUAAGUUGCAGGGUAUAGACCCGAAACCCGGUGAUCUAGCCAUGGGCAGGUUGAAGGUUGGGUAACACUAACUGGAGGACCGAACCGACUAAUGUUGAAAAAUUAGCGGAUGACUUGUGGCUGGGGGUGAAAGGCCAAUCAAACCGGGAGAUAGCUGGUUCUCCCCGAAAGCUAUUUAGGUAGCGCCUCGUGAAUUCAUCUCCGGGGGUAGAGCACUGUUUCGGCAAGGGGGUCAUCCCGACUUACCAACCCGAUGCAAACUGCGAAUACCGGAGAAUGUUAUCACGGGAGACACACGGCGGGUGCUAACGUCCGUCGUGAAGAGGGAAACAACCCAGACCGCCAGCUAAGGUCCCAAAGUCAUGGUUAAGUGGGAAACGAUGUGGGAAGGCCCAGACAGCCAGGAUGUUGGCUUAGAAGCAGCCAUCAUUUAAAGAAAGCGUAAUAGCUCACUGGUCGAGUCGGCCUGCGCGGAAGAUGUAACGGGGCUAAACCAUGCACCGAAGCUGCGGCAGCGACACUAUGUGUUGUUGGGUAGGGGAGCGUUCUGUAAGCCUGCGAAGGUGUGCUGUGAGGCAUGCUGGAGGUAUCAGAAGUGCGAAUGCUGACAUAAGUAACGAUAAAGCGGGUGAAAAGCCCGCUCGCCGGAAGACCAAGGGUUCCUGUCCAACGUUAAUCGGGGCAGGGUGAGUCGACCCCUAAGGCGAGGCCGAAAGGCGUAGUCGAUGGGAAACAGGUUAAUAUUCCUGUACUUGGUGUUACUGCGAAGGGGGGACGGAGAAGGCUAUGUUGGCCGGGCGACGGUUGUCCCGGUUUAAGCGUGUAGGCUGGUUUUCCAGGCAAAUCCGGAAAAUCAAGGCUGAGGCGUGAUGACGAGGCACUACGGUGCUGAAGCAACAAAUGCCCUGCUUCCAGGAAAAGCCUCUAAGCAUCAGGUAACAUCAAAUCGUACCCCAAACCGACACAGGUGGUCAGGUAGAGAAUACCAAGGCGCUUGAGAGAACUCGGGUGAAGGAACUAGGCAAAAUGGUGCCGUAACUUCGGGAGAAGGCACGCUGAUAUGUAGGUGAAGUCCCUCGCGGAUGGAGCUGAAAUCAGUCGAAGAUACCAGCUGGCUGCAACUGUUUAUUAAAAACACAGCACUGUGCAAACACGAAAGUGGACGUAUACGGUGUGACGCCUGCCCGGUGCCGGAAGGUUAAUUGAUGGGGUCAGCGCAAGCGAAGCUCUUGAUCGAAGCCCCGGUAAACGGCGGCCGUAACUAUAACGGUCCUAAGGUAGCGAAAUUCCUUGUCGGGUAAGUUCCGACCUGCACGAAUGGCGUAAUGAUGGCCAGGCUGUCUCCACCCGAGACUCAGUGAAAUUGAACUCGCUGUGAAGAUGCAGUGUACCCGCGGCAAGACGGAAAGACCCCGUGAACCUUUACUAUAGCUUGACACUGAACAUUGAGCCUUGAUGUGUAGGAUAGGUGGGAGGCUUUGAAGUGUGGACGCCAGUCUGCAUGGAGCCGACCUUGAAAUACCACCCUUUAAUGUUUGAUGUUCUAACGUUGACCCGUGAUCCGGGUUGCGGACAGUGUCUGGUGGGUAGUUUGACUGGGGCGGUCUCCUCCUAAAGAGUAACGGAGGAGCACGAAGGUUGGCUAAUCCUGGUCGGACAUCAGGAGGUUAGUGCAAUGGCAUAAGCCAGCUUGACUGCGAGCGUGACGGCGCGAGCAGGUGCGAAAGCAGGUCAUAGUGAUCCGGUGGUUCUGAAUGGAAGGGCCAUCGCUCAACGGAUAAAAGGUACUCCGGGGAUAACAGGCUGAUACCGCCCAAGAGUUCAUAUCGACGGCGGUGUUUGGCACCUCGAUGUCGGCUCAUCACAUCCUGGGGCUGAAGUAGGUCCCAAGGGUAUGGCUGUUCGCCAUUUAAAGUGGUACGCGAGCUGGGUUUAGAACGUCGUGAGACAGUUCGGUCCCUAUCUGCCGUGGGCGCUGGAGAACUGAGGGGGGCUGCUCCUAGUACGAGAGGACCGGAGUGGACGCAUCACUGGUGUUCGGGUUGUCAUGCCAAUGGCACUGCCCGGUAGCUAAAUGCGGAAGAGAUAAGUGCUGAAAGCAUCUAAGCACGAAACUUGCCCCGAGAUGAGUUCUCCCUGACUCCUUGAGAGUCCUGAAGGAACGUUGAAGACGACGACGUUGAUAGGCCGGGUGUGUAAGCGCAGCGAUGCGUUGAGCUAACCGGUACUAAUGAACCGUGAGGCUUAACCUUACAACGCCGAAGGUGUUU
rnacentral:rRNA from 1 species